UGGGGAAUAUUGCGCAAUGGGGGAAACCCUGACGCAGCGACGCCGCGUGCGGGAUGAAGGCCUUCGGGUUGUAAACCGCUUUUGAUUGGGAGCAAGCUUUCGGGUGAGUGUACCUUUCGAAUAAGCGCCGGCUAAAUACGUGCCAGCAGCCGCGGUAAUACGUAUGGACCGAGCGUUGUCCGGAAUCAUUGGGCGUAAAGGGUACGUAGGCGGCCCAGUAAGUUAGAAGUGAAAUAAUAUAGCUCAACUAUAUAAAGCUUUUAAAACUGCUAGGCUUGAGAGAUGGAAGGGAAAGUGGAAUUCCUAGUGUAGCGGUGAAAUGCGCAGAUAUUAGGAAGAAUACCGGUGGCGAAGGCGACUUUCUGGUCAUCAUCUGACGCUGAGGUACGAAAGCGUGGGUAGCAAACAGG
rnacentral:rRNA from 1 species